CCUACGGGAGGCAGCAGAAGGGAAUAUUGCUCAAUGGGGGAAACCCUGAAGCAGCAACGCCGCGUGGAGGAUGAAGGUUUUCGGAUUGUAAACUCCUUUUGUUAGAGAAGAUAAUGACGGUAUCUAACGAAUAAGCACCGGCUAACUCCGUGCCAGCAGCCGCGGUAAUACGGAGGGUGCAAGCGUUACUCGGAAUCACUGGGCGUAAAGAGCGCGGAGGCGGGAUAGCAAGUCAGAUGUGAAAUCCUAUGGCUUAACCAUAGAACUGCAUUUGAAACUGUUAUUCUAGAGUAUGGGAGAGGUAGGUGGAAUUCUUGGUGUAGGGGUAAAAUCCGUAGAGAUCAAGAGGAAUACUCAUUGCGAAGGCGACCUACUAGAACAUAACUGACGCUGAUGCGCGAAAGCGUGGGGAGCAAACAGGAUUAGAUACCCCUGUAGUC
rnacentral:rRNA from 1 species